AGGCAGUACCAUUUUGGCUCCACUAGUUCAGUCCCACCGAGAGCUCUCUUCUUCUCCUUUCUCUUCCUCAUUUCAUCGCAAAUACCCACCAGGGCCUCCACCGCUCUCCUCCGUAAGCUUGCUUCUUGAGGCAAUUUUGCUUAAAGCCAAAUCCUUAGAGGAACUCGAGCGAUACGCAGGUAUUACCGCCUACAGUUAACAAUCAUCAACUCAACAAGAUUCUUCACGCUUGCUUCUCAUUUACGUUGAUUUGUGCUUCUCAUUCCUUAAAUCUUUCUCAGCUUUUUAAGCCGAUUUCAGUUUCAAUUUAUAGAGGAUAUAGGAGGACAUAAACCAUCUAAGGUAUGUCUUGUAACAUUUAAUUUUAGAAAUCACACAAAUUAUGAUAUAUAGCAUUGUUUGUCAGAUUAUGAUACUUCUAGGUUGUAUUAGGAAUAACUUUUUAGUAAAAAUGGCAGAAGGUUAAACACAGCAUAAUGGCAUACCAGAAAGUACUCCAAUUAAUAAAUACUCAACCCAUUCAUUUUUGGGAAUAUUAGGAAUGUCCAGCAUGAUUUCCCAUCAUUUGAAUUUGAAAAAAUAGCUGAAAAUUUUCAUGUUGACCUAAAUAAAUCAUUAAAUUCCUUGUUCUGUCAAUUGAGCUAUGUUGCAAUGCUACAAAGUAUUCCAAUAACAAUUUAUCACAUAAAAUUGUGCACAAACAUAUUUCCCACUCGUCUACAUGGUAGAGAAAAUGCAAACAGAAAGCAAACAUAUGCUCUACACCAUGCAGACACAUGAUAUGCUUGUUACUGGUAUGAGCUGAAAAAGCCAGCUGUUGGACAAAAUCAAAUAAAUAAACCUGGCCACGUCUUGUGGAAAGGACAAACUGAUGCUUCCAAACUUCAGAUGAAAAGCCUUAUGAAUCACAAUUGAAUUCCUUACAUUGUCUGACAGGUUUUAUACAUAAAUAUGUGUGCAGCCAAUUGAAGAUGUCCCUCUUAUAUUGUCAUUCUCAUCUUAUUUUCCAAGCCAAAUCUAAGUUACUGACAAGCACUGUGCAUUGUGAUUAGCAGGAUAACAUAGAGACCAGUUACAGCUAAAUGCCAAACAAAUUCUUUAGUUAUAGACUUU